rnacentral:rRNA from 1 species
UUUUCCUACGGGACGCAGCAGUGGGGAAUAUUGGGCAAUGGACGCAAGUCUGACCCAGCAACGCCGCGUGAAGGAAGAAGGCUUUCGGGUUGUAAACUUCUUUUAAGGGGGAAGAGCAGAAGACGGUACCCCUUGAAUAAGCCACGGCUAACUACGUGCCAGCAGCCGCGGUAAUACGUAGGUGGCAAGCGUUGUCCGGAUUUACUGGGUGUAAAGGGCGUGCAGCCGGAGAGACAAGUCAGAUGUGAAAUCCACAGGCUCAACAUGGGAACUGCAUUUGAAACUGUUUCCCUUGAGUAUCGGAG